AUUGAACGCUGGCGGCAGGCUUAACACAUGCAAGUCGAGCGAGCGGCGGACGGGUGAGUAAUGUCUGGGAAACUGCCUGAUGGAGGGGGAUAACUACUGGAAACGGUAGCUAAUACCGCAUACUAUCGGAUGAACCCAUAUGGGAUUAGCUAGUAGGUGGGGUAAAGGCUCACCUAGGCGACGAUCUCUAGCUGGUCUGAGAGGAUGAUCAGCCACACUGGGACUGAGACACGGCCCAGACUCCUACGGGAGGCAGCAGUGGGGAAUAUUGCACAAUGGGCGCAAGCCUGAUGCAGCCAUGCCGCGUGUAUGAAGAAGGCCUUCGGGUUGUAAAGUACUUUCAGCGAGGAGGCGUUACUCGCAGAAGAAGCACCGGCUAACUCCGUGCCAGCAGUCGCGGUAAUAC
rnacentral:rRNA from 1 species